UUUACUGGGCGUAAAGGGUGCGUAGGCGGUCUUUCAAGUCAGGAGUGAAAGGCUACGGCUCAACCGUAGUAAGCUCUUGAAACUGGGAGACUUGAGUGCAGGAGAGGAGAGUGGAAUUCCUAGUGUAGCGGUGAAAUGCGUAGAUAUUAGGAGGAACACCAGUUGCGAAGGCGGCUCUCUGGACUGUAACUGACGCUGAGGCACGAAAGCGUGGGGAGCAAACAGGAUUA
rnacentral:rRNA from 1 species